rnacentral:rRNA from 1 species
AUGAACUUGGAAUUCUUCUACGACAAUGUGGGUAGCCGUGUCAAACCAGCUAGAGACCCUAACCGCAUUAGAGCUUUUCUUCAGACAUACAAGGAGAUUGAAAAUGCAAACACACACUUUCAACUUCAGGAGGAUCUAAUUGAGCACCAUUGGCAAAGGGCUGGACAGUGA